rnacentral:rRNA from 1 species
GGCGGCGUGCUUAACACAUGCAAGUCGAACGGAAAGGCCCUGCUUUUGUGGGGUGCUCGAGUGGCGAACGGGUGAGUAACACGUGAGUAACCUGCCCUUGACUUUGGGAUAACUUCAGGAAACUGGGGCUAAUACCGGAUAGGAGCUCCUGCUGCAUGGUGGGGGUUGGAAAGUUUCGGCGGUUGGGGAUGGACUCGCGGCUUAUCAGCUUGUUGGUGGGGUAGUGGCUUACCAAGGCUUUGACGGGUAGCCGGCCUGAGAGGGUGACCGGCCACAUUGGGACUGAGAUACGGCCCAGACUCCUACGGGAGGCAGCAGUGGGGAAUAUUGCACAAUGGGCGGAAGCCUGAUGCAGCAACGCCGCGUGCGGGAUGACGGCCUUCGGGUUGUAAACCGCUUUCGCCUGUGACGAAGCGUGAGUGACGUAAUGGUAAAGAG